rnacentral:rRNA from 1 species
GCCAGACUCCUACGGGAGGCAGCAGUGGGGAAUAUUGGGCAAUGGGCGCAAGCCUGACCCAGCAACGCCGCGUGAAGGAAGAAGGCUUUCGGGUUGUAAACUUCUUUUCUCAGGGACGAAGAAAGUGACGGUACCUGAGGAAUAAGCCACGGCUAACUACGUGCCAGCAGCCGCGGUAAUACGUAGGUGGCAAGCGUUAUCCGGAUUUAUUGGGCGUAAAGGGCGUGUAGGCGGGAGCGCAAGUCAGAUGUGAAAUCUCAGGGCUCAACCCUGGGCCUGCAUUUGAAACUGUGUUUCUUGAGUGCUGGAGAGGCAAGCGGAAUUCCGUGUGUAGCGGUGAAAUGCGUAGAUAUACGGAGGAACACCAGUGGCGAAGGCGGAUUGCUGGACAGUAACUGACGCUGAGGCGCGAAAGCGUGGGGAGCAAACAGGAUUAGAUACCCCAGUAA